rnacentral:rRNA from 1 species
AGAAUCAACGCUGGCGGCGUGCCUAACACAUGCAAGUCGAACGAGAAAGUGGAGCAAUCCAUUAGUAAAGUGGCGCACGGGUGAGUAACACGUGACUAACCUACCUUUUAGUGGGGGAUAACCUAGGGAAACCUGGGCUAAUACCGCAUAAUACCUACGGGUCAAAGCAGCAAUGCGCUGAAAGAGGGGGUCGCGGUCGAUUAGUUAGUUGGCAGGGUAAUGGCCUACCAAGACUGUGAUCGAUAUCCGGCCUGAGAGGGCGCACGGACACACUGGAACUGAAACACGGUCCAGACUCCUACGGGAGGCAGCAGUGGGGAAUUUUGCGCAAUGGGGGAAACCCUGACGCAGCAACGCCGCGUGGAGGAUGAAGUCCCUUGGGACGUAAACUCCUUUCGAUCGGGACAUAAUGACGGUACCGGAAGAAGAAGCCCCGGCUAACUUCGCGCCAGCAGCCGC